AGAGUUUGAUCAUGGCUCAGAACGAACGCUGGCGGCAGGCUUAACACAUGCAAGUCGAACGCACCUUUCGGGGUGAGUGGCAGACGGGUGAGUAACGCGUGGGAACGUGCCCUUCAGUUCGGGAUAACCCAGGGAAACUUGGGCUAAUACCGGAUACGUGCGAGAGCAGAAAGAUUUAUCGCUGAAGGAUCGGCCCGCGUCUGAUUAGCUAGUUGGUGGGGUAAUGGCCCACCAAGGCGACGAUCAGUAGCUGGUCUGAGAGGAUGAUCAGCCACAUUGGGACUGAGACACGGCCCAAACUCCUACGGGAGGCAGCAGUGGGGAAUAUUGGACAAUGGGCGCAAGCCUGAUCCAGCCAUGCCGCGUGAGUGAUGAAGGCCUUAGGGUUGUAAAGCUCUUUCGUCCGGGACGAUAAUGACGGUACCGGAAGAAGAAGCCCCGGCUAACUUCGUGCCAGCAGCCGCGGUAAUACGAAGGGGGCUAGCGUUGUUCGGAAUCACUGGGCGUAAAGGGCGCGUAGGCGGCUUUGUAAGUCGGGGGUGAAAGCCUGUGGCUCAACCACAGAAUUGCCUUCGAUACUGCAUGGCUUGAGACCGGAAGAGGUAAGUGGAACUGCGAGUGUAGAGGUGAAAUUCGUAGAUAUUCGCAAGAACACCAGUGGCGAAGGCGGCUUACUGGUCCGGUUCUGACGCUGAGGCGCGAAAGCGUGGGGAGCAAACAGGAUUAGAUACCCUAGUAGUCC
rnacentral:rRNA from 1 species